UUAGGUUAAGUUAUGAAGGGCGCAUGGUGAAUGCCUUGGUACUAGGAGCCGAUGAAGGACGGGACUAACACCGAUAUGCUUCGGGGAGCGGUAAGUACGCUUUGAUCCGGAGAUUUCCGAAUGGGGCAACCCAAUCAGCUUAGUCGCUGAUUACUUGACUAGUGAAUACAUAGCUAGCAAGAGGUAGACGCAGUGAACUGAAACAUCUUAGUAGCUGCAGGAAGAGAAAGAAACAUCGAUUCCCUGAGUAGCGGCGAGCGAAAAGGGAAGAGCCCAAACCAACGAGCUUGCUUGUUGGGGUUGUAGGACUGAGCUUUAGAGUUACCAAAGUGCGACGUAGUCGCAACAGUUGGGAAGCUGUGCCAUAGAGGGUGAAAGCCCCGUAGACGAAACGUCACACUCUCUGUUCAGGAUCCUGAGUACGGCGGGACACGUGAAACCCCGUCGGAACCCGCGAGGACCAUCUCGCAAGGCUAAAUACUCCCUAGUGACCGAUAGUGAACCAGUACCGUGAGGGAAAGGUGAAAAGCACCCCGGAAGGGGAGUGAAAUAGUUCCUGAAACCAUGUGCCUACAAGCUGUCGGAGCCCGUUAAUGGGUGACGGCGUGCCUCUUGCAGAAUGAACCGGCGAGUUACGAUUGCAUGCAAGGUUAAGGUGGAAAAACCGGAGCCG
rnacentral:rRNA from 2 species